rnacentral:rRNA from 1 species
CGGAGGACAAGAAACUAACCAGGAUUUCCCUAGUAACGGCGAGCGAACCGGAAAGAGCCCAGCUUGAAAAUCGGGGCGCCUCGCGCCCCGAAUUGUGGCCUGGAGAAGGUCCCUCUGCGACGCGCCGGACCCAAGUUCCCUGGAAAGGGACGUCAGAGAGGGUGACAACCCCGUCGAGUCCGGACUCCGCCGCUCCACGAGAACCUGUCUGCGAGUCGGACUGUUUGGGAAUGCAGUCCUAAGUGGGAGGUAAAUUCCUUCCAAGGCUAAAUAUUGGCAGGAGACCGAUAGCGAACAAGUACCGCGAGGGAAAGAUGAAAAGGACUUUGAAAAGAGAGUUAAAAGUGCUUGAAAUUGCUGGGAGGGAAGCGAAUGGAAGCUGCGGGUGCGCCCCGGUUGGAUGUGGAACGGCCCCUUCUCGGGGGCUGGUCCGCCGCUCAACGCGGGGCGCUGGUCAGCGUGGGCUGCCGCGGCGGGACAAGUGCGGGAAAUCGUUUCCCGCCCCAUGCCGUUGCGGCGGCCGAGGAACGAAGCGCGCGCCCCCUUCCCCCUCUUUGAGGCACAGGGGGGCGUGGGGCCCCGGCCCCAACUGCGCGCUCGGGACGCUGGCGUAUUGAGCUCUUCAUCCGACCCGUCUUGAAACACGGACCAAGGAGUCUAACAUGUAUGCGAGCCGGUGGGCGGCAAACCCAUUGAGGCGCAAGGAACCUGACAGGUGGGAGCCCGAGAGGGCGCACCAUCGACCGACCGUGAUCUUCUGUGAAAGGUUUGAGUGUGAGCACACAUGUUGGGACCCGAAAGAUGGUGAACUAUGCCUGAGCAGGGCGAAGCCAGAGGAAACUCUGGUGGAGGCUCGUAGCGAUACUGACGUGCAAAUCGUUCGUCAGACUUGGGUAUAGGGGCGAAAGACUAAUCGAACCAUCUAGUAGCUGGUUCCCUCCGAAGUUUCCCUCAGGAUAGCUGGAGCUCGUGUACGAGUUUUAUCAGGUAAAGCGAAUGAUUAGAGGCAUCGGGGGUGUAACACCCUCGACCUAUUCUCAAACUUUAAAUAGGUAAGCCGCCGGGGUUGCUUGGCUGAACCCCGGCACAGAAUGAGAGCUCCAAGUGGGCCAU